rnacentral:misc_RNA from 1 species
GACGUAGGGUCCGAGCGUUGUCCGGAGUUACUGGGCGUAAAGGGCGCGCAGGCGGCCGCGCGCAUCGGCGGUGAAAGCCCCCCGCUCAACGGGGGAGGGUCCGUCGAGAUGGCGUGGCUGGAGGCAGGGAGAGGUCGGUGGAAUUCCGGGUGUAGUGGUGAAAUGCGUAGAGAUCCGGAGGAACACCAGUGGCGAAGGCGGCCGACUGGACCUGACCUGACGCUGAGGCGCGAAGGCGUGGGGAGCGAACGGG